CGUAGGUGAACCUGCGGAAGGAUCAUUAACGUACAAAAUGUGAGGGGCAUGCGAGGGCUGUCGCUGAGCCAAAAGUCGUGCACGCCCGAGUGUGUCCUCUUGCAUAAUAAUCCAUCUCACCCUUAGGGCAUCACCGCGUGGGCACCCUUCGGGAUCAUCUCGGAGGGGGGCUCGCGGUGUCACACAAACCCCCCUUUUAAAAGUGUAGAAUGACCACAUUUAUGCAAUCAAUACAACUUUCAACAACGGAUCUCUUGGCUCUC
rnacentral:misc_RNA from 1 species